GACCGCCAGUGAAAAUCGAUUUUCACUGGCGGUCGACGUAAUAAAACCGCCAGUGAAAAUCGAUUUUCACUGGCGAUC
rnacentral:pre_miRNA from 7 species